rnacentral:rRNA from 1 species
AUUGAAACUUCGGUCGAUUUAAUUUAAUUCUAGUGGCGGACGGGUGAGUAACGCGUGGGUAACCUGCCUUAUACAGGGGGAUAACAGUCAGAAAUGGCUGCUAAUACCGCAUAAGCGCACAGAGCUGCAUGGCUCAGUGUGAAAAACUCCGGUGGUAUAAGAUGGACCCGCGUUGGAUUAGCUGGUUGGUGGGGUAACGGCCCACCAAGGCGACGAUCCAUAGCCGGCCUGAGAGGGUGAACGGCCACAUUGGGACUGAGACACGGCCCAGACUCCUACGGGAGGCAGCAGUGGGGAAUAUUGCACAAUGGGGGAAACCCUGAUGCAGCGACGCCGCGUGAAGGAAGAAGUAUCUCGGUAUGUAAACUUCUAUCAGCAGGGAAGAUAGUGACGGUACCUGACUAAGAAGCCCCGGCUAACUACGUGCCAGCAGCCGCGGUAAUACGUAGGGGGCAAGCGUUAUCCGGAUUUACUGGGUGUAAAGGGAGCGUAGACGGUGUGGCAAGUCUGAUGUGAAAGGCAUGGGCUCAACCUGUGGACUGCAUUGGAAACUGUCAUACUUGAGUGCCGGAGGGGUAAGCGGAAUUCCUAGUGUAGCGGUGAAAUGCGUAGAUAUUAGGAGGAACACCAGUGGCGAAGGCGGCUUACUGGACGGUAACUGA